rnacentral:rRNA from 1 species
AUUGAACGCUGGCGGCAUGCCUUACACAUGCAAGUCGAACGGCAGCGCGGACUUCGGUCUGGCGGCGAGUGGCGAACGGGUGAGUAACAUAUCGGAACGUGCCAGGAAGUGGGGGAUAACUAGUCGAAAGAUUAGCUAAUACCGCAUACGCCCCGAGGGGGAAAGUGGGGGAUCGCAAGACCUCAUGUUUGCUGAGCGGCCGAUAUCUGAUUAGCUAGUUGGUGGGGUAAAGGCCCACCAAGGCGACGAUCAGUAGCUGGUCUGAGAGGACGACCAGCCACACUGGGAGUGAGACACGGCCCAGACUCCUACGGGAGGCAGCAGUGGGGAAUUUUGGACAAUGGGGGCAACCCUGAUCCAGCAAUGCCGCGUGAGUGAAGAAGGCCUUCGGGUUGUAAAGCUCUUUUGUCCGGGAAGAAAUCCCACCUGCUAAUACCGGGUGGGGAUGACGGUACUGGAAGAAUAAGCACCGGCUAACUACGUGCCAGCAGCCGCCGUAAGAC